rnacentral:sRNA from 1 species
GCGAGGCGCAGUGGUGUAUGCCUGUAAUCCCAGUGGCUUGGGAGGCUGAGGCAGGAGGACUGUGAGUUCAUUGCCAGCCUCAGCAACAGCGAGGCGCUAAGCAACUCAGUGAGACCCUGUCUCUA